AUUGAACGCUGGCGGCAUGCCUUACACAUGCAAGUCGAACGGCAGCACGGGUGCUUGCACCUGGUGGCGAGUGGCGAACGGGUGAGUAAUACAUCGGCACAUGUCCUGUAGUGGGGGAUAGCCCGGCGAAAGCCGGAUUAAUACCGCAUACGAUCUACGGAUGAAAGCGGGGGACCUUCGGGCCUCGCGCUAUAGGGUUGGCCGAUGGCUGAUUAGCUAGUUGGUGGGGUAAAGGCCUACCAAGGCGACGAUCAGUAGCUGGUCUGAGAGGACGACCAGCCACACUGGGACUGAGACACGGCCCAGACUCCUACGGGAGGCAGCAGUGGGGAAUGUUGGACAAUGGGCGAAAGCCUGAUCCAGCAAUGCCGCGUGUGUGAAGAAGGCCUUCGGGUUGUAAAGCACUUUUGUCCGGAAAGAAAUCCUUGGCCCUAAUACGGUCGGGGGAUGACGGUACCGGAAGAAUAAGCACCGGCUAACUACGUG
rnacentral:rRNA from 1 species